rnacentral:rRNA from 1 species
UUAGGUACCCUUUUAUUCCGGUGAAAAUUUUGUUUGCUACUUGAGGACUACGAUUACUUAAAACUCAAGGGACAUGGCGGCUAGUCAACUAAUUAGGGGAACAUUUGUCUUAAUACGAAAGUGCGCGAUUUAUUAGACCAUAUCUUGAACUAUCAGCUAGUGUAUUGCCGUUGUCAACUAAUGAUAAAUUAAAUAAUUAGUAAGUAGAGAUGAUAUUCUAGAAUUCAGGUCAAAGUGCUGCUUAUGGUAUGGGGAUUAGGUGUUACACUCUUAAGUUGAGAUACGGAACUUAUUUAUCACGGAAGGUGAACUUAAAAGUAAAAGGAAAUAAGAAUGUUUCUUUGAAUUAGUGUGGCUUGUGUACAAACUGCCCGUCGCUCUCGUCUGAGGAGAU